rnacentral:rRNA from 1 species
GAUGAACGCUGGCGGCGUGCCUAAUACAUGCAAGUCGAGCGAACGGACGCGAAGCUUGCUUCUCUGAUGUUAGCGGCGGACGGGUGAGUAACACGUGGAUAAUCUACCUCUAACACUGGGAUAACUUCGGGAAACCGGAGCUACUACCGGAUAAUAUUUUGAACCGCAUGGUUCAAAAGUGAAUGAAGGUCUUGCUGUCACUUAUGGAUGGAUCCGCGCGGUAUUAGCUAGUUGGUGAGGUUAUGGCUUACAAGGGCACGGUGCAGAGCCGACCGGAGAGGGGGAUCGGCCACACUGGAGGGAAGAAGCGGUCCAGACUCCUACGGGGGGCGGCAGUAGGGAAGCUUCCGCAAUGGGCGAAAGCCGGACGGAGCAACGCCGCGUGGGUAAUGAUGGUCGUCUGAUCGUAAAACUCUGUUAUUGGGGAAGAACAUAUGUUUAAGUAACUGUGCACAUCUUGACGGUACCUAAUCAGAAAGCCACGGCUAACUACGUG